UUGAAAGGGAAACGAUUGAAGUCAGUCAUGCCGGCGGAAUCAACUUAGGGGAAACUCUGAGUGCACUUCUUCGCUUGGCAGGUUAGCGUCGAUUUUGGAUGUCAUAAAAUGGCUGGGGGAAGGUAGCUCUUUCGGGAGUGUUAAGCCCUUAGUAGAUGUGAUGUCCGGGAUCGAGGAUUGCAACGGAUACCUUUUGGGCUAACCGCCUAGUCUCUAAUAUGAAGUUGGGUUAUGGACAGCACGCUGACUGUGAUCUGAUUUUCGAUUAAAAGAUUAGAGCGAGUGUAAAUUCGUUAAGGAUGUUGACGUA
rnacentral:rRNA from 1 species